ACACUCACCGGGCAGGGGAGAUACCAGGUCAGAUACCUGGGAAAGAUACCUUUCCCAGGGCGAGGCUUAUCCAUGGAUGUGCUGACCCCUGAGAUGUCCCUCAGUGUGGGAAACCCGACUGCAUAAUCUGUGGUGGUGGGGACUGCGUUCGCGCUCUCCCCUG
rfam:Myotis davidii contig146586, whole genome shotgun sequence.